UGCUGUGUGGCUAAGUUGGUAGAGCAUGGCACUUGCAACGUCAGGAUUUGUGGGUUUGAUUCCCACUGGGGCCA
rnacentral:tRNA from 1 species